rnacentral:rRNA from 1 species
GACGAACGCUGGCGGCGUGCUUAACACAUGCAAGUCGAGCGAGAAACCUUCGGGUUUCUAGCGGCGGACGGGUGAGUAACACGUGGGUAACCUGCCUUAAUGAGGGGGAUAGCCUUCCGAAAGGAAGAUUAAUACCGCAUAACAUUGAGUUUUCGCAUGAAGAUUCAAUCAAAGAUUUAUCGCAUUAAGAUGGACCCGCGGCGCAUUAGCUAGUUGGUGAGGUAACGGCUCACCAAGGCAACGAUGCGUAGCCGACCUGAGAGGGUGAUCGGCCACAUUGGGACUGAGACACGGCCCAGACUCCUACGGGAGGCAGCAGUGGGGAAUAUUGCACAAUGGGGGAAACCCUGAUGCAGCAACGCCGCGUGAGUGAAGAAGGUCUUCGGAUCGUAAAGCUCUGUCUUUGGGGACGAUAAUGACGGUACCCAAGGAGGAAGCCACGGCUAACUACGUG